AGAAAACUGUUGCUGAUGGUGCACCAGUCAUUCCAAUUUCUGCUCAGUUAAAAUAUAACACCUAGAGCAUUAUCACUAAUGUUUGUUUAUUUGGGUCAGUUGAUAAAAAUGUUAUUUAACGUUUUGGAAGGCAUGAUCGGGUUCCAAUCAGACUUAGAAUCUGGAAAAGAGUGGUUCCAAUCAUCAAGUCAUGCUCGGGUGCAGCAGCAAGUUGAUUUGAGUGUCAGACAGGGUUUCCAAAACCAGCUAUGCUAGCGGACUGCACAACCAAUCUUCACUCUGAUGCUGAAGUUUCGAACAACAUGAUUGUGGAUAAUAAGUUCAUUGCUUUGCAAACUUGCCAUUCUGGUGUUGCUAGUGAUCAGGUUCCGAGUUUCACCUUGUAAAGCUACAGAAAUUUGAUCCUUGGCCAAGUUGUCCUUCAUGAAAAUUUAUCAAUUACCUUGCCAAUCUAUGAAAUCAUUUCAAGUCCGAUCAGACACUUGCUUGAAAAUCUGUUCCAUCUCAUCAUCUGUUUAAACAAUAAAUCCCAUGCACAUCAAAUCUUAUUGUAGAGGCUAUAUAAACUGAGAGAAAGGAUUACAGGAGUGCAGGAAAAAAUGGGGUAGAUGGAAAAUCGAUAGAUGUUGAGGGAUUAUUGCACAUGAUCAGCAGAGUUUUGCAACAAUCGGGAUCUUCUAUUAAUUGAUACAAGAAGUAGAGGAAGGAAUGCAGG